rnacentral:lncRNA from 1 species
GAGGGGCAAUAUAACGUAAAAAUUCGAGGGGACGGGGAUUUGUUAAGCAACGAUCCUUUCUGACGCCACGUGGCUUAUCCAUCUAGAACGCGCGUAUGGACCGGACGUAGGUGGAGAAUCUUGUAGACGCGUGUCACUUGAUGAUUGAACUCUCGUCCAAAGGUUGCCGGCCACACGAGACCACGCGGCUUCCGAAGAGAUUAAUACGUUACAAGAAAACAUGAUGUGGGC